AUGCCCCGUCCCCCACCAGUGCCGGGGACGGCCGCCACCGAGGCGCCUUCCCCCAGCCCCCCGCGGCCAAGGCGGGCGGCAGCUCCCACCACCGGCCCCGGCCCCCGCCGCCUCCCGCCGCCCGGCCCGGCCCGGCCCGACCCACCUGGUCGGUGUCCCGGGGCGCGCCCCCACUCGCUGCUCGCCCGGCGCUGGCCAGGCUCGGCGCGGCUCCCCAGCCCCACGGCGAGGAGCCCGGCCCGGGGCGGAGCUCAGGCGCGGCGGGCUGGGCCGGGCCGCUCCGGGGGCGGCGGGCUCGGCCGCCCUGUACCCGCCCCGCACAAGCACCCGCCGCCGGAGCCAGGAGGGGGCCGCGCCGGCGGUGGGUGCGCGCAGACGCUGCAGCAGCGGGGCGGCGCGGCCCCGGUCCCCGCGGGAUGCUCCCCGGUGCCGCCCUCCCGAGACAGCCGGCCCAGCACCGGUCCUUCGCCUCCCCGUCCGCUUCAGAGCGGCCCACCCCAGAGCCCGCCCCGCGCUUCCCCGCUACUCAGCUGGGCAGGCGUGGGGCUGUGGCGGGAGGGCUGCGGCGGGCUGCGGGAGAGCCGCCGGCCGCGGGCUCGGCAGGGGCAGCGGAGAGACACGCCGGCUCCCGCCCCACGGGGCAGUCCCAGCUCGGGCUGCGGGCGCUGGACACUAGGCGGCCCCGCGGAGCGCUCCCCACCGCCGGCCCUGCGGCUCCCCCUCCUGGAGCCGCCGCUCCCUCGCCGCGCCGCCCUGCGCUCGCAGCGCGCCCCGCAGCUCAAACACGCGUGGGGCUGGGGGUGCCCGGCCGCCUCCCCGCGCCGGUCACCGAGGCUGCCGCUCGGAGCCCGGCCUGCGCACCCCGGCAGGGCGCGGACAGGGGCCGCGCGGGGCGAGCCGGAGCCCGGGGGACCCAGCAGCGGCAGGGCUCCGCUCCGGGACUCAGGCCACGCGCAGCCGCCAGCCUCCCCUCCCACCGGGGCCGAGUCUCCCGAGCGGGCCCUGCCGCCGAGCGGCACCGGAAAGGGCGCGGGUGCCCGCGCUCCGGCCGGGCCCUCAGGGCCGCACACCGGCAGAGACGCCCCCGGCCCGGGGGCGGUCGGGGCGGGCCCAGGCUCCCACCCGCGCAGCAGCUGA
rnacentral:lncRNA from 1 species